CAAAUCAGGUAGGACUACCCGCUGAACUUAAGCAUAUCAAUAAGCGGAGGAAAAGAAACUAACAAGGAUUCCCCUAGUAACUGCGAGUGAAGCGGGAAAAGCUCAAAUUUGUAAUCUGGCGGUCUUGGGCCGUCCGAAUUGUAAACUAGAGAAGUGUUAUCCGCGCUGGACCGUGUACAAGUCCCCUGGAAUGGGGCGUCAUAGAGGGUGAGAAUCCCGUCUUUGACACGGACUACCAGGGCUUUGUGAUGCGCUCUCAAAGAGUAGAGUUGUUUGGGAAUGCAGCUCAAAAUGGGUGGUAAAUUCCAUCUAAAGCUAAAUAUUGGCGAGAGACCGAUAGCGAACAAGUACCGUGAGGGAAAGAUGAAAAGAACUUUGGAAAGAGAGUUAAACAGUACGUGAAAUUGCUGAAAGGGAAACGCUUGAAGUCAGUCGCGUUGGCCAGGGAUCAGCCUUACUUUUGUGGGGUGUACUUCCUUGUCGACGGGUCAGCAUCAGUUUUGGCUGCUGGAUAAAGGCUGGGGGAAUGUGGCAUCCUCGGAUGUGUUAUAGCCCUUGGUUGGAUACAGUGGCUGGGACUGAGGAACUCAGCACGCGCAAGCUGUGCUUAGGAUGCUGGCAAA
rnacentral:rRNA from 1 species